UCGCCGUCGGUACGGUCAUGACGCCAUCUGCGGCGUCGCGAGGGAAACCGGUGGGAAUCCGGUGCGGUCGCGCCACUGUGAGCGGCCUUCGUCUCGGUGAUGGGGACGAGGCCGCGAGUCAGGACGCUCCUUCGUCGCAGUCCUUUCGUAG
rnacentral:ncRNA from 2 species